GCCAGCAACAGGGAAUUGAAGGCUCUCUUGACAUGGAGAGGAAGACAAAGCUGUGUAUAAAUGGAGUGAGGGCUCCUACUCAUCAUCAUGGUAUCUCUGUCAGCCACUUCAGAUGCUCACCGAUCUCACAGCCAGGCCUGCCGGCAUUGCUGAAGUGGUAUUCUCAGCACAUCCGUUGGAGCAGAACCCAGGAUCAGCUGAGGAAGCACCAGAACCCUUCUCUGCUCUGUUUCCUUUCUCCCACUGGAACUGUGGAUGGCUUUGCUGGACAUGGGUAUCCAUGCAGUGGCAGACCUGGCAGGACUGGCAAGACGACACCUGUAGCCCCAUUGGACACCUCUGGGCUGAGAACUGAUGCUGCAGUGCUCUGAAUUGGAGGGGUUCGUUGAAGCAACAGGUAGAAAGUCUGUUUUCCCACUGAGAGCUUGGAUGUGAGCCAUGUUUUAAUGCAAUGCAGGGAUGAGGACCCUAGGCCUUAUUCCCCUGCAUAGAUUUCUUAUCUGAAUUUAUCCUUCAAAAUGCAAACAUGCAGCAUGGACUGGAUUGUGGUUGCAUAAAUCACAUCUUAAGUCAGCGUACACCAGGCUUAGAAACGGCACAUGCAACUUCAUAUUCAGAGUUUUGAGGAAGGCUCAAUUGUUUGGAUGACUUACGGAAGCAGCACUGGUGGGACAUGCGGUGUUACCUUCGGCGUGGGAACACCUCUGCUGCUGGCAGAGCAUCACAGAUGUGUGCUCAGUGUGGUGCAGGGCUUUGGGCUUCCACCCAGUGAACCCAUUUCUACGCUGUUUAUUCAUGGGACUCACCUCUCUGUCCCAGCUGUUUUGGGUUUAGGGUCAAAACUCAAGAUCAAAGUGAAA
rnacentral:lncRNA from 1 species